UCCAAACAGUGUUAUUCCGCAGCAGCGGUG
rnacentral:piRNA from 1 species